rnacentral:rRNA from 1 species
CCAAUAGCGUAUAUUAAGGUUGCUGCGGUUAAAAAGCUCGUAGUUGAAUUUCGGGAUUGAUGCAUCGGUCGUGCCUUAAGGGGUAUGAACUAGUGUGGUCAAUUUCUUACCUUCUGGUGAAUUGUGAUGUCCUCCUUAAUUGGGUGUUUCAAUGAACUAGGACUUUUUACUUUGAAAAAAUUAGAGUGUUUAAAGCAGGC